GUUAGUAUGUUUUUAGUUCAUAAAUCAAUGUUAGCUAAUCUUGCGAAUGAUGUUAAUAAUUUAUAGUUGUUAAUUGGCUCCUCAGCGAGGAACUGAUAAAUGUCAAUGCCUACCUAUGUACUACGGUGUCUCAUAAAUCACUGUUGUUUAUAUUCAUUUUAUAAAGUGUAUGUUUGUCGAAUGCAUGUCCGCUUAGGAUUCUGUUGAAUUGUUUUAUUUCCAAGGAAUGGAAGGAUUCUUUUUUAUGGAACCAUGGGGCCGACGAAACAAAAGGAAAUAACAAACAAUAACUUCUGUUUCUUUCAAAGCAAAAGGCAUUAUACUCAUAUUCCCAGUCAGAUUUAAUUUUGUUAUAUAAAUUAUUAAUCGCGUCAUUUAUAGGCCAUCUUGCUGAGAUAAGUACUCCAUUCGUUCUAGCGUUCUUUGCUGCAGCGUCCACUUGGUCGUUUUCUUGUAUGUCGACGUGGCUUGGUAUGUGGUGGAUUUCAAUACUGGUUAUAAAUAUUUCAUUUUCUACUUUUUUCAAAAUGUCUAAAGCUAAGCAGUUGUCGCUGUGUUUUUUGUUUAAGGACUGAAUGGACCCCAAGCUGUCUGUUAGAAUAGCAAUUUUUUGAAAAUAAUUUUCAAUUGCAAAGUUUAUUGCUUUUCCUAUAGCAAUAAGUUCUGCGGUCAACGAUUUCAAUGAUCUCUUGGACCCUGUAUAAAAACUUUUAGUGGUGUUUGAAUUUUUGUGUGUAAAGGCACUCCCCAUAAAGUCCUCUGACACUGAGCCAUCUGUAAAAAAAAUUUCGUAUCCUCCCUCACGAAGUGUGUUAAGUUUAUCUUCGAGUAGAGCACAAAUAGUUUCUUUAUUGGCAGUGGUUCCCUUGAAGAAGUUAGGGUCAAAUGUAAAUUUAUGUGAUGAAGGUCUGUUAAUGUUAAUAUUUGCUAUAGUGUCGAAUAUCUCUUUAUACUCAAUAUAUACUUUUCCAUAGCUAGUGUUUUUAGCCAUGAAAUUGUUAGAUACUAAAUUGGCUGCUGGAAGCCUAAAAGCAAAAAUUUUGGCAAUUUCCUUUGCUGUAGCAAGUUUCAUUCUGUAUUCAGGUGGCAAUUCCGCAGCUAGAUGAUAUAAAAUGUUUAUAGGUGUAGAUCUAAUAAGGCCCAAACAUUUCCUCAAGUGGACAUUAGCAUGGGUUUUUAUGCUAUUAAUUGCUGCUUUGGACAAAGAUGUACUUAGGUCUGACAAAAGCUUUGAAGAAAUUAAGGGCCUUGGAAGGAUGAACUCCGAACCUACAACCGCUCAACAUCUGUAGAAAAAUAUUAGACUUAUUAGAGUUGGAUAAUCGUAAUUUGACAUCGUGACAGGGGAAUUGUUUGUACUAAUUAUUCUACCUACAUAGAUAGUUAACUUGAUCAACAUCUCUGAUUGAGGUAUUUCCUAAUAUUAUAUUGAGAUUUUUACGUCUUCGGUUAAAGUGUAAAACUGAAGAUUUCCUGGCGUCAAAUGUUAGGUUUAUUGAAUUGCAUAGCUCCAUAAAAUCUUUAAUUUUUUGUUCAAGUGUGUUUCUAGCCGUUAGGAAGUCUCUAUGAAAGGUUAUUAGAAAGAAAUCAUCAGAGUAUUGAAAUAAAAUACUAUUAUUGUCAUUGAUUGUGUGUAAGGACUAAGGCAGCUGCCUUGGCUAACACCUUUUUUCACUUUGACUGAAGUGUUUCCCAUUUGAAGUCUUCUAUUUAAAAGAAAAUUAGUAAUAAAGUUAAUAUAUAAAUGAUUAAAACCGCAGUCUAUCAGUACUUUACCUAAAAUUGGAACGUUUACAGAGUCAAAUGCCUUACUAAUAUCUAAUACAGCUGCUUUAACUUGAAAUACUUGGGCCUUCAAGUUAGAUAUGUUAUUGAUAACGUCAUUGAUACAGUUUGCUGUAAUUACGCCUAAAUGCGUACGAUCUCUUUGGUAAUAAAUUGAAAUUAUUUAUAUGUGCUUCCAUUUUACCUUUAAUAAGACCUUCUAGACAUUUAAACACUACACUUAACAAGCAUAUUGGUCUAUUAUUUGUGAUUAAGGAAGAGUCUAAUUUUUUUUUUGGUACUGGGAAGACUUUUAUAUUUCUCCAGGCAUCCGGAAUGAGUCCAUUGUUCAAAAUCUCAUUUAACAAAGCUACUAAUUUUUCAAGUUCCCCUGGUGGAAGGGUGAGCAAAAUACUAAUUUGUGGUGUUAUUGACAUGAGUUAUUCAUUUUAGAUCGUGAAAUAUUUAUCAAUUUGUAGAAUUAGAUUUGUAAGUUUAAUUUCUAUUAGAUUAUCUUGUUUUUUUUUUAGAUUAAAUAUUUUAUUAAAUAAUUUAGUUUAUUUUAUUGAAUGACAAGUAGUUUCAUUAAAUUCUAUAAGAAUUGUAAUGACUUUAUUAUUUGAUUGAAUAAGCUUAUUAUUUAUAUCAUUUGUUUUAAUAAUUGCUUCUUUAGUAAUUUUUUAUA